rnacentral:misc_RNA from 1 species
GCAUUAGCGAUGAAUAGUUAAAGUUUUGCUGAGUAGACAACACAAGACAAGUACACUUAUCAUGCCUAUAUUUCUUAAUAACAUAUACGACUAUGAAAGGCAAGCAAAAAUAUUGAAUACAUUUUUGUGGUAAUUGAUAUUGUCCCUCGAAUUUUGAGGCAGAAUCUGAAAAUAAUUCCUUCCUUGUGUGCGUGCUCCAAUUUAGCAACUGCUACUCAUACUAUUGGCAAUGAAUAUCAACAUCUCUACCCCAUUUAAGACAAUAGGACAGAUUUCUCUUUUCCAUAUCUAGUUGUGACAUCUUUCUAGAGUGACCUCUCUCUGUGACAGUUUCAUCCGACACAUCAAUGAGGGAUCUGAAGAAGAAUAAAAGAAAGGCAAUAUAUGGACACAGAAAUCACGACGCCGGCAAUGAAGUUGUGAAGCAGCUUCUGAUUGUCUCUCGUGGGUACGAAAACUGUCUUGAGUGUAUUCGUUAGUUCAAAAAGCCUAUAUGAUAUCAAAACAUAUAUUGCAGUGACAAGCAUAAAAUUAAGCAAAGGAUAAUCUGGGAUAAAGGAGAGGAGCCACUUAGGCUGUCCAUUCGGCAUAUUUGAUCUCAG